AUGUUGUUGCUAAGGUUGUUUUGGUCACACGAUCCUGGAAUGAACCAAACGUUUAGAAAUCUCCUUUUUGUUUCCGCAGCUAUGAAUGAAGCUAAAGGCUUGCAGGGCCCCGAUGGCAGGGAAUCAGCAGCCUUUCCUGGGGCUGGAGGCCAGGUGAGGGACGAGGGCAGGCUCUCUCUCCACUGCUGCCUCCCUUGGACUUGGCCAACCCAAGCGGCUCUCACAGCGGCGCUACCCAGCCCAGCCGUGACAAGGCGCUACCCAGCCUGGCCUGUCUACCAAGUCUCCUGUGGAGCAGAGGUUGCAAGAGUCCUUGCCAUGGGGACAGAAACAGACUAUUCAUUUGUACUGAGCCCCUGCCCUUUUUCUGCCCCUUUUCCUCUUUCCCCUAGGAAUGUUGCCAGUACACCUCCCCUUGCAAAGAGCAUCAAUAUUAAGGCUGGGGAGAGGUGGAUUUGCUCCUUUCUGACACUGGGUAUCCAUCAUUUGGCCAAGUGUCUAGUCAGUGAUGAUUGGCUAGUGGAAGGAGUUUUCAGGGAAGUUCCUGUAAGGGGAAAGGUAUAUCGAGGCUGGAUUUCAGAAGAAACAUCCUAUCAGUGAUGUCUCCGAGUCUGGGGAAUUCUUUCCCAAGGACCAUGUUGGAGUCCUCACCUCUUCACUCACUGGAGUCUGGAAUGGCCAAAGCACUGGUGUAUAUAUUGCAGGGAACAAUCCCACAGUGGCCAGGGGUGGGACCCAGGGACUGGCUCUAAACUGCAGAUCUCUUCCAUCAGACAUGUAAUAGCAAUGGUAACAUGAGUAAAUGUAUGUAUGGCCAUUUGACUGGCUGCCAUGCAGGACAUCAGGUGCAGAUUGCAUGUUUGCUCCCAGGCUGGGGAGAGCCAGGAGUGCUGUGAAGACAGUACAUGCAGCUCUGGGUGGGAGCAAGCUCAUGGCAUUUAAAUGCCUCCUCAGGCCAACCGGAGGAGUAAGGUUAAUUGUCUCUGGCGGGAGCAGCAUCCAGCCAAGAGGGGCCAUCGAUCACAACAUAAAGCCAGUGGAGACUGAGAGUGCAUCCUCCCCACAAAACAUCUGCCAUGGGAAUGGUUCAGGGAUGAUUCAAGGGUAGCCAGAGAUUGCAGUGCCUUCACAUUUGUAUAAGAUUCCUGACGAUAAAGGACAUAUUUGUAUGGUCUCUAAUAGCACCUACGCUGCCU
rnacentral:lncRNA from 1 species